rnacentral:misc_RNA from 1 species
UACGGAGGGGGCUAGCGUUGUUCGGAAUGACUGGGCGUAAAGCGCGCGUAGGCGGACCAUCAAGUUGGGGGUGAAAUCCCGGGGCUCAACCCUGGAAUGGCCUUCAAGACUGCUGGUCUUGAGUUCGAGAGAGGUGGGUGGAAUUCCGAGUGUAGAGGUGAAAUUCGUAGAUAUUCGGAGGAACACCAGUGGCGAAGGCGGCCCACUGGCUCGACACUGACGCUGAGGUGCGAAAGCGUGGGGAGCAAACAGG